CGUCAGAUAGCUCAGUGGUCUAGAGCAGUCGCCCGGCAAGCGAAAGACCCGGGUUAAAUUCCCGAUCUAGCGA
rnacentral:tRNA from 1 species